rnacentral:rRNA from 1 species
UACGAAGGGGGCUAGCGUUGUUCGGAAUUACUGGGCGUAAAGGGCGCGUAGGCGGCGUGUCAAGUCAGGCGUGAAAGCCCCGGGCUCAACCUGGGAACCGCGCUUGAGGCUGGCAUGCUCGAGUUCGGGAGAGGAUGGUGGAAUUCCCAGUGUAGAGGUGAAAUUCGUAGAUAUUGGGAAGAACACCGAUGGCGAAGGCAGCCAUCUGGACCGACACUGACGCUGAGGCGCGAAAGCGUGGGGAGCAAACAGG